rnacentral:rRNA from 1 species
UAGUCAUAUGCUUGUCUCAAGGAUUAAGCCAUGCAUGUGUAAGAUCGGCAUAGUUUUGGGAAGUAGGUUUACCUACAACCCUUAUUCAUUGUUAAUCUGUGAAAGGCUCAUUAAACAAGUUAUGAAUUUAGCCACCUGGUACAACCCUUCGGGGAUGGGAAUAACACUGUCAACUGCAGCGAUAAUGCCUACGAUUACUGUUGAAUUAAGUAGACAGUAGACACUAGAGUAUGGGUGAGUCCGCUCUAUUGUUAGCUGGGAUGAUCUUCUGACUCGUUGGAAGGUCUGAACAGUUGUCGACCAUUAGAUUUUCGUUUGCUUGCAAGCGAAUGCAGCGUGAAUGACUUAGCGUCCUAAUAAGACCUACGGCUUUCUUGUUGACUAGUGGCCAGGAAGAUAUGUUUCUAAUCUAUCAGCUCAGUAGUUUCGGUAAAGGCGAAACGAGGCUAUAACGGAUACGGGGGAUUGGUGUCCAACUCCGGAGAGAGAGCCUGAGAAACGGCUAUCACAUCUAAGGACGGCAGCAGGCGCGUAAAUUACCCAAUCCUAAUUCAGGGAGGUAGUGACAAGACAUAGCGACUUUACACCAAUCGGUGGAAAGGUACCACAUUGUGGUUUGAAAUGGAUGGAGAUUAAACCUCUCCAUGAGUAGCAAUUA